GCCGAGUUGGGUAACACCAGCUUGUAACCCAAGUGGGGGCAUUAAGGUGUUGGGACAUAGUCUUGGCUGGCUAGGGUGGAUUGGUUUGUGCAAAUGUUGGCUUGCCCACUCCAAGUUGAGAGUUGAACCAUGAAGUUUACGAUAAAUCGAAGGCUUCAUGAUUCCUAGAUUGGAGGGCACAGCGUGAGGCUGGCUUCACAGAGCAGCGACUACCUCUAGCUCCCAACAGUGGAGGGAUCACAGGCUACAGCACUCCUAGUCCUUCAUUCCUAGCUAGCCUUGGCUACUUGGACCAACACUUUUU